UACAGAGGUCUCAAGCGUUGUUCGGAUUCAUUGGGCGUAAAGGGCGCGUAGGCGGCGAGGUAAGUCGGGUGUGAAAUCUCAGAGCUCAACUCUGAAACUGCACUCGAUACUGCUUUGCUAGAGGACUGGAGAGGAGAUUGGAAUUCACGGUGUAGCAGUGAAAUGCGUAGAGAUCGUGAGGAAGACCAGUGGCGAAGGCGGAUCUCUGGACAGUUCCUGACGCUGAGGCGCGAAGGCCAGGGGAGCAAACGGG
rnacentral:rRNA from 1 species